AGAGUUUGAUCCUGGCUCAGAAUCAACGCUGGCGGCGUGCCUAACACAUGCAAGUCGCACGAGAAAGGGGCUUCGGUCCUGAGUAAAGUGGCGCACGGGUGAGUAACACGUGAAUUAUCUACCUCCGAGUGGGGAAUAACCUAGAGAAAUCUGGGCUAAUACCGCAUAACACUUACGAGUCAAAGCAGCAAUGCGCUUGGGAGAGGAGUUCGCGGCAGAUUAGUUAGUUGGCGGGGUAAUGGCCCACCAAGACGAUGAUCUGUAUCCGGCCUGAGAGGGCGCACGGACACACUGGAACUGAAACACGGUCCAGACUCCUACGGGAGGCAGCAGUGGGGAAUCUUGCGCGAUGGGGGAAACCCUGACGCAGCAACGCCGCGUGGAAGGAUGAAGUCUCUUGGGACGUAAACUCCUUUCGAUAGGGAAGAUAAUGACGGUAC
rnacentral:rRNA from 1 species